rnacentral:rRNA from 1 species
UACGUAGGUGGCAAGCGUUGUCCGGAUUUACUGGGCGUAAAGAGCGCGCAGGCGGUCGUUCAAGUCGAAUGUGAAAGCCCCCGGCUUAACUGGGGAGGGUCAUUCGAUACUGAUCGACUCGAAGGCGGGAGAGGGAAGCGGAAUUCCCGGUGUAGUGGUGAAAUGCGUAGAUAUCGGGAGGAACACCAGUGGCGAAGGCGGCUUCCUGGUCCGUUCUUGACGCUGAGGCGCGAAAGCCAGGGGAGCAAACGGG